GAUGAACGCUGGCGGCGUGCUUAACACAUGCAAGUCGAACGAAGCACUUUAUUUGAUUUCCUUCGGGACUGAUUAUUUUGUGACUGAGUGGCGGACGGGUGAGUAACGCGUGGGUAACCUGCCUUGUACAGGGGGAUAACAGUUGGAAACGGCUGCUAAUACCGCAUAAGCGCACAGCAUCGCAUGAUGCAGUGUGAAAAACUCCGGUGGUAUAAGAUGGACCCGCGUUGGAUUAGCUAGUUGGUGAGGUAACGGCCCACCAAGGCGACGAUCCAUAGCCGACCCGAGAGGGUGACCGGCCACAUUGGGAAUGAGACACGGCCCAAACUCCUACGGGAGGCAGAAGUGGGGAAUAUUGCACAAUGGGCGAAAGCCUGAUGCAGCGACGCCGCGUGAGCGAAGAAGUAUUUCGGUAUGUAAAGCUCUAUCAGCAGGGAAGAUAAUGACGGCACCUGACGAAGAAGCACCGGCUAAAUACGUG
rnacentral:rRNA from 1 species